UACGAGGGGGGCAAGCGUUGUUCGGAAUUAUUGGGCGUAAAGGGCGCGUAGGCGGUGCGGUAAGUCACCUGUGAAAACUCUGGGCUCAACUCAGAGCCUGCAGGCGAAACUGCCGUGCUUGAGUGCGGGAGAGGCGAGUGGAAUUGCAGGUGUAGCGGUGAAAUGCGUAGAUAUCUGCAGGAACACCCGUGGCGAAGGCGGCUCGCUGGACCGCAACUGACGCUGAGGAACGAAAGCUAGGGGAGCAAACAGG
rnacentral:rRNA from 1 species